rnacentral:rRNA from 1 species
UACGGGGGGUGCGAGCGUUGUCCGGAAUCACUGGGCGUAAAGGGCGCGUAGGUGGCGUGAUAAGGGUGUGGUGAAAGCCCGAGGCUUAACCUCGGGUCUGCAGUCGAUACGGGCUAGCUAGAGUGUGGUAGGGGAGAUCGGAAUUCCUGGUGUAGCGGUGAAAUGCGCAGAUAUCAGGAGGAACACCGGUGGCGAAGGCGGAUCUCUGGGCCAUUACUGACGCUGAGGCGCGAAAGCGUGGGGAGCAAACAGG